rnacentral:misc_RNA from 1 species
ACAUCUUAGUUUAAUUUUAUUUUUGAAUAUGUAUGAAUAUCAUGAACUUUGCAAAUUUCUUAAAAAAAAUUUGCGUAUCGACAGGCCGUUACCAUUAAGUUACGGCCAUUACAGAUCCAAUUCCGUUACUCGCGACCGCGAUUUAAAAUUAUAGUUCCUAAGCAGACCUUGAAUCGGAACCAAAACUGCACCAACCCUAUUCAAACUGAAACUGCCAUAAACCCAACCUGACGCCAGAACCACCAGGACCAGAAUUGCAAGGAACCAACCCUAG